rnacentral:rRNA from 1 species
UCCUUGCACAUGGCCUUCGAGCUGUUAAAACUGGGCCACCCGCGAACUAGAGUGGGGGACCGGUCGACUAAUACAUCGUAACGGGUCCAGAAAAGGGGGAUAACCUAACGAAAGUGCCGCUAAUACCGUAUACGAUCUGCGGAUAAUACCGGGGGAUGCACCAGUAAAAGCUUUUGGCGAACUACCGUCGCAUGCGAUCCAUGAGUCUAUGUAUGCUGCACCUGCUCGUUAUUGGAGCGGCUGAUGUCUGAUUAACUACUGGGUGAGGUAGUGGCUUACCAUCGCGACGAUCAGUAACUGGUCUGACAAGA